ensembl:lncRNA
AUGGAGGCCAGAAAUGAGACACAAACCAGUGAAACACAAGAGAAAAACAGACUGACACUUGUCAGAUGUGCCAGUAUAGAGAUAAUAAAACCAAGCUUCUCACAUGAUCCAGACGGACCUGUAAACUUUCCUUCAGAUGAAACUUCAGCACGUUCUGAAGAACACACAACAUCCCUGAGACAGCAGCAGCGGCUGAAGACAACACCAUCAUGAUCCCAGACUCCAUCCAUCCACACUACAGUCUGCUCAGACCCUCAGAGACCUGCAGACACUAUCAGCAGCAGGGGCUCAAGCGGAAACAGAGACACUUCUCUUGUUAUAAAACUAAUAAAAAAUAUUAAGGAAAAAAAAGGCACUUCUCAUAUUUAUUUAUUUUUUUCAAAAAAUAAAUAAAUAAAUAAAUAUAUUAACACAAUUUAAUUACCAAUUUAUUGUAAUUCCCUCACACUCACCCAGUUGUUUCACAUUGUUUCAUUUUUAAACAGAUGUCUACAAAUAAUCAGUUCACAUAGAGAACAUUGUGUUUAAAAAACUGAUUUUUUACAGGCUUCUGAGGCAGCGUGAUGGUUUAAUGAUCUACAACAAAAUAGAACGAGUUUAGGUAAAAAAAACUCCUGUAACUAAUAUUGAAUUACUAUAAUACUGAUUUCUCGCUAUAAAUAACAUCAAAAGUUCAAAAAGUUAAUUAGAAAUAUACAUUUACACACAAACUGAUCACCAAACACAACUUUAUGAUGCCAUCUUUACUUUAUUUUAAGCUCAAUCAUCACUGAAUGGAACACACAUGAUUGUGGGAUAUCAAAGGAAACAUCUCUGCUGCCUUCAGAAAUCGAUCAGAUGAAGGUAUGAGACAGAAAGUGAAGCUAACAUUGGAUUCGGACGUGCCCUGAUGCCUUUCUUUGAAGUGUGUCCUCUGAAGACAGCAUCUUUCAGUGUUUGGGUGCAGCACAUGUUAAACUAUAGCAGGGCUGAGCAACUUUGGUCCUGAGGAACACUAUCAGCUCAACCCUAAUCAAACACACCUGCCUGUAGCUUUCUAGUUAUCUUGAAGACCUUGAUCAGUUUGUUUAGUUUGACUUGGAGCUAAACUCUGAACCAUAGUGGCCCUCCAGGACUGUAAGGUCCAGGCACUCGGUCCAAGGAAGGUAUCCGGUGCUGGCUGAAGGUUGCUUGCGCGUUCGGUCUUUUCAGCGCGUAGAGUUAUUCAAUUUAAAUCCAAUUCUAAUCUGACUCUAUUUUAAUAUUUCAUCUGACUCCAUUUUAGUAUGACCUCGAAUUUAGGUUGAAAGGCAAAUUGGUUGAUUGUCUGUCUCUAAUUAUUAUUAUUAUUAUUCUGACAUUGGAUUAUUCUAGUUAACUCUUUACUUUAUAUUUACUCGUUCAUUAGGAAUCUAUGUCGCUCAGGGUGCCCCACGAUGGCCGUUCUUCUACGUGUGCCCCACGAUCACAAACUCGCCAGUCUCAACAGUAGUCAGAGGUUAUGACUAAUACUAUUUAAUAGGUUACCCAUACUUACCAUAUUUGAAAUAGUAUUUUCGUUUAGUCCCCCUCAGUUACCCAUGUACAACUUAGUUAAAGCUCACCACAAUAAUCAGCGGUUAUGCUAGCACUAUCUGUCUAGCCCCCCAGACAGUCAUAUAACUACGUACAACUUAAUUAAAGCUGAGACAAUAAUCAGAGGUUAUGCUAGCACUACCUGUCUAGCCCCCCGACAGUUAUAUAACUGCGUACAACUUAAUUAAAGCUGAGACAAUAACCAGCGGUUAUGACCAGUGCUCUGACUAGACCCCCAUAGUUACUGCAACUGAGUACAACUUAACUAAAGUCAAGCGGUUAGUCAGAAACCUAAAACCUCACCUGAUGUGCCCCAUGCUCCAUCUAGCCUGAGAUUUAGUAUGCACUUAACCCUGGACGCAGAUUUGCGGAAACAUAGCCUUCACUUAAUCUACUUGAGGAAACAAUUUCAGAGUAACUCAGAGUAAAUCAAAUGUAACAAUUUAUUAUCAGUCAGGUAAGUAUUAUGCCAAUUACAUAGCCAAUUCAGAGAUAUCAAAUCAAUACAAGACAUCAAAUUCUCAAAGGUGAAUCUAAGAGUAAAAGAUGCAUACCUGACUUUUAGAAAAAUACAUAAGUAUGAAGUGUGUGGACACACUUCAUGCUAAGGGCUCAUUCUGACUACAGAAGGCCCUGAUCCUUUUGCUGCAAUCGUUUAAAUACCUCAGACCAAGACAAACUUCCCCCGAGAUGGAGACAGUAACUAACAAUAGGAAUUUGUAUUAACUCAGGUCCCAAGCCUGGGUGGUUUUACAACUCAAUGGGAACAGGAGGUAAUUUACAUGGAGGACCCUGGGAAGGGCACUCCCAUCACAGUAAUCAAAAUAUCUCUUGACUCUUAGGAUCUGUAUUAUCUUCUAAUCUACUUUUGUAAGAUUGAGACCAUUGUACCAGUUGCACUGAGACAUUUCAAAUGAUACUAUACAUGACUGUUAGUUCACUUGCAUUGACAUUUUCAUGUAAUCAUUUUGAGCAGAUUGAGUAGAAGGAAGCAUGAGUGAAGGGAUUUAAAAUGAAACAAAUGGGUAGAAGGGAAGGAGGUCUCCUGCACCUCCACUCUGUGAGGUGUCUCGAAGAUGCCCGUGUAUGUUUGUAUUGUCUGUUUCUCAGGAGAUCAAAGUAGCUCAGGUUCUUUAAUCCUUACAAGGACCCUCUCCCCAAUCUACACUAUAGAGCUCUUAAAGUGAUAGUUCACCCAAAAAUUAUCAUUCUGUCAUGUACACAAGAAGAUAUUUUGAACAUUGGUAAUCAGAACAAUACAGGUGGAGCACUUUCUUGCAUGCAAAACAUAGACUUUACUUUGCUUCUUGUGAUUAAACAGAAAUAAAUUAUUUAAUCAAUUCCUGCAGGAAUAAAACACUGUUCAGUAAAAAAGUGUUUCUACAUCAAUGAUGUAAAAGAGAUAAAAGCAUUCAAAUCUCCAGACUGUUGUUCUUGUGUUGGUGUUAUUAGACUAUAAUACAAUAUAUUCUUAUUACUAUCUUUGCUAUGUCACUGUGUAUUUUAAUUUUUUAUUUUAGUUUCAGUUUGACUACUGUAACAGCUUCAGUAAUUAAUGAAUAAAAACUCUUAACAAAAAAUGAAAGAUGAGUGUUUUAAUCACCUUGUGUUGAGCUAAAAAAGAGAAGAAACGUCUGAGUUCCAGAAUGAGUUUAUCAACCUGACACUGUGACCAGCCUGACAGUAUGUGUGGGCCUAUGUAUCUGGGCAUGAAAUACGGUUUGCUUCUAGGAUGAAUAACGCUGCUGUUAUUGCUCAUCACAGUAGUUGAGGCAGAGAUAGUUCCCCUUUCUACACCAUCAAAGAAAGUCACAUUAUCCAGUGUAGCACUGUUCUUAAGUGAUGAGAUAUUAGAUAAAGUCUGUCUCGUUACAGCUGUGAUGGUGGGGUGAAGGAAGGACUGGAAACAAUAGCGAGUUAGACGAUUUAAUGAAAAUAAAUAAACAAACAGGAAAAAGACAAUGAUGCUGGGAAGACAACAAUCCAAGAUGGUGGUGAGGUGGUGAGGAAUCCGGAUGAUGAAGGUGAGAAGGCAGCAGGAGAGGAUGGCACAGGAACUGCGGGGAAUAGAGCCGAAAGUAAGUAUUUGUGGCUGAGUGGAAGUGCGUAGAGUGGAUGAGGUUCCGGGAAAACACGAACAUCCAAACGCAGACAACACUGAAGCCAAACAAACAGGGUAAGCAACAUAAAACAACGAUCUCACAAACACAAGACGUGAGACAAGCCAAUAUAUAUAGAAUGAGUAAUGAGUGACAGCUGCUGCUGAUGACAAUUAACGGAGACGCCCACAAACUAAUCAGUGCAGACGCGAAACACACAGACUUCACCACAAAGUGCAAACACCCAGAGAUCACGGUUUACCAACCGUGACAACAGCAAACUGGUCUCUCUCAUUAUAAAGAUCCCCAUCAGCAGUGAUCGCUGUUACUAAAACAUGUUUAGUUUACAUGACGAUGCUGUGAACAUUAUUUAUUUGGUAAAACUCUCAUGUUGACCUUUCGAUCAUUAUAAACAUUGUACAUCAUAUAACUCAUCUCAAACCCAUGCAUCGCUCUUUCUUCUUCUCUAAAACCGGUUUCUUCAUGAAGCUGUUUGUGUCAUAAUAACUCUGUUUCUGUAACAGAAUAUGAUCCAGAUUCAGGCACAUCAGAUGUGUGUUUGAGGAUCAGUGAGUUUAUGAUUUAUGAUGUGAAACACGAUCCUCAUUCACUGCCUUCAACCUGAAACUAAAGCAGAUAGGAGUUUUACUUACUCAAACAUGCCUCCCACAAAGCGACUUCUCCUUCUUCUUCUUUCCGUUUAUUGGCGGUUGGCAGACUAGCUUAUUAGUGCAUUACCGCCACCAUCUGAACUGGAAUGUGGAGCAUCGAUGCAUGUAUAUGUGAAAGUGAA